rnacentral:rRNA from 1 species
ACGAGAACGGGUUAAAGUUUACUUUAACUGUCAGCUAAGUGGCGCACGGGUGAGUAAUGUAUAGUUAACCUGCCCUCGAGAAAGGAAUAACAGUUGGAAACGACUGCUAAUGCCCUAUAUGCCUUUAAGACAUAAGUCUACAAGGGAAAUGCUUUUGUGCUCGAGGAUGGGACUGUAUGGUAUCAGAUAGUUGGUGAGGUAAUGGCUCACCAAGUCAAUGACGCCUAACUGGUUUGAGAGGAUGAUCAGUCACACUGGAACUGAGACACGGUCCAGACUCCUACGGGAGGCAGCAGUGGGGAAUAUUGCACAAUGGAGGAAACUCUGAUGCAGCAACGCCGCGUGGAGGAUGACACUUUUCGGAGCGUAAACUCCUUUUAUAUAGGAAGAUAAUGACGGUACUAUAUGAAUAAGCGCCGGCUAACUCCGUGCCAGCAGCCGCGGUAAUACGGAGGGCGCAAGCGUUACUCGGAAUCACUGGGCGUAAAGAGCGUGUAGGCGGAUAGAUAAGUCAGAAGUGAAAUCCUAUAGCUCAACUAUAGAACUGCUUUUGAAACUGUCUAUCUAGAAUAUGGGAGAGGUAGAUGGAAUUUCUGGUGUAGGGGUAAAAUCCGUAGAGAUCAGAAGGAAUACCGAUUGCGAA